CCUACCACCUGUGCCCUUCCUAGUGAAGAGAAAAACAAAUAAAAGGCCACACGAGGACACACACAAGGAAAAGACAAGUGAGCAUCUCAUUGCCAGCACGCUGAUCUUAGGCUUCCAUCUUUCAACACUGUAGAAAAGUAAACAUCUGUUAUCAUGCACUCCUCACCCUGAUUCUUUGCCUUGCCAUGGGCUGAAAACUACACGGCCAGCUAACCAUGAAUGCAAAGCUCUGAAGCCGUCAGC